AGAGUUUGAUCCUGGCUCAGGAUGAACGCUAGCUACAGGCUUAACACAUGCAAGUCGAGGGGCAGCAUGAAUAUUGGCUUGCCAAUAUUUGAUGGCGACCGGCGCACGGGUGAGUAACACGUAUCCAACCUUCCGGUUACUCGGGGAUAGGCUUUCGAAAGAAAGAUUAAUACCCGAUGUUGUGUAUCUUUCUCCUGAUUGAUACGCCAAAGGAUUCCGGUAACCGAUGGGGAUGCGUUCCAUUAGGCAGUUGGCGGGGUAACGGCCCACCAAACCUUCGAUGGAUAGGGGUUCUGAGAGGAAGGUCCCCCACAUUGGAACUGAGACACGGUCCAAACUCCUACGGGAGGCAGCAGUGAGGAAUAUUGGUCAAUGGACGGAAGUCUGAACCAGCCAAGUAGCGUGAAGGAUGACUGCCCUCUGGGUUGUAAACUUCUUUUAUACGGGAAUAACAUGAGGUACGGGUACCUUAUUGCAUGUACCGUUAUGAAUAAGCAUCGGCUAACUCCGUGCCAGCAGCCGCGGUAAUACGGAGGAUGCGAGCGUUAUCCGGAUUUAUUGGGUUUAAAGGGAGCGUAGGUGGGAUAUUAAGUCAGCUGUGAAAGUUUGGGGCUCAACCUUAAAAUUGCAGUUGAUACUGGUUUUCUUGAGUACGGUAUAGGUGGGCGGAAUUCGUGGUGUAGCGGUGAAAUGCUUAGAUAUCACGAAGAACUCCUAUUGCGAAGGCAGCUCACUGGACCGGCACUGACACUGAUGCUCGAAAGUGCGGGUAUCAAACAGGAUUAGAUACCCUGGUAGUCCGCACAGUAAACGAUGAAUACUCGCUGUUUGCGAUACACAGUAAGCGGCCAAGCGAAAGCGUUAAGUAUUCCACCUGGGGAGUACGCCGGCAACGGUGAAACUCAAAGGAAUUGACGGGGGCCCGCACAAGCGGAGGAACAUGUGGUUUAAUUCGAUGAUACGCGAGGAACCUUACCCGGGCUUAAAUUGCGCUGGCUUUUACCGGAAACGGUAUUUUCUUCGGACCAGCGUGAAGGUGCUGCAUGGUUGUCGUCAGCUCGUGCCGUGAGGUGUCGGCUUAAGUGCCAUAACGAGCGCAACCCUUAUCUUUAGUUGCCAUCAGGUUUUGCUGGGGACUCUAAAGAGACUGCCGUCGUAAGAUGCGAGGAAGGUGGGGAUGACGUCAAAUCAGCACGGCCCUUACGUCCGGGGCUACACACGUGUUACAAUGGGGAGCACAGCAGGUUGCUACACGGCGACGUGAUGCCAAUCCGUAAAACUCCUCUCAGUUCGGAUCGAAGUCUGCAACCCGACUUCGUGAAGCUGGAUUCGCUAGUAAUCGCGCAUCAGCCACGGCGCGGUGAAUACGUUCCCGGGCCUUGUACACACCGCCCGUCAAGCCAUGAAAGCCGGGGGUACCUGAAGUACGUAACCGCAAGGA
rnacentral:rRNA from 1 species